rnacentral:lncRNA from 1 species
AGGCCCUGAAAGAAACGUUCUUCAGCAGCAAUAAACGAAAGCUAACACAUGGAUAUUUGUGUCUGAAACACAUUUUGUUUCAGAACCAAAAGCUAGGAGUUCGCUUGUGGCACAGCAGUUUAAGGGUCUGGCGUUGUCACUGGCAUUGCUAAGGAACCUGCCAGCUCGGGUUCAGUCCCUGGCCUGGAAACUUCCAUAUGCCUUGGAUGUGGCCAAAAACAAAACAAACAAAACCAAAGGCUAGUCAAGAAAUAGGGAGUUCCUGUCGUGACACAGUGGAAACACAUUGGACUAGGAACCAUGAGGUUUUGGGUUCGAUCCCUGGCCUCCAUCCAUGGCUUAAGGAUCUGGCGUUGCCAUGAGCUGUAGUGCAGAUUACAGACAUGGCUCAGAUCCUGCGUUGCCAUGGCUCCCAUUGGACCCCCUAGCCUGGGAACCUCCAUAUGCCACAGGUGUGGCCCUAAAAAAAAUUGCUAGACAAGAAACAAAUAAGAAACCUUGGCUUCACUGCUCAAAACCAAGCCCAGAGACAACGUGGUCCUGAUCUGAGGUCCCACACAUUUCUUUCCCAGUUGCGCUAGGGGUCGAAUUGGAGCUGUAGCCACCAGCCUACACCAGAGCCACAGCAAUGCGGGAUCCGACCCGCAUCUGCAACCUACACCACAGCUCACAGCAACGCCAGAUCCUUAACCCACUGAGCAAGGCCAGGGAUCAAACCCGCAACCUCAUGGUUCCUAGUCAGAUUCGUUAACCACUGCGCCACAACGGGAACUCCUAUUCUUGAAUAGAUUAUAUUUAGCUUAACUUGAUGUCAUGUGUGGCUAUGGCUGCAAGACUGGUUUUUGGAGUCAGACCCACCUGGUUUGAAUUCUGGUUCUCUGCCUAAUAGCCGUGUAUCCGAGGCAAAUGUGCUUAGUCUGUUCAGCCUCAAUGUCCACAUCUACACAAUGGGGAGGAAGAUGCUGCCUAUCACAGGACUGUUGCAUUAAGAAAUUUUAUAAGGUAAGCCCAGCCUCUGACACAUAGUAAGCAAUCAAGACCUUGAUAAGGCCUGCACUGCCUCCCAAAUUCAUUCUCCUACCACACUGUCCACGUUCACUGCCCUUCAGCCACGGUGACCUCGCUACUCUUCUUUGAAGGGGCCGAGUUUUCCCCACUUCAGGACCUUAGUUAGCACUUGCUUUUCCCUCUGCCAGCAACAUCUCACUCUCCCUCAGCCCCAUCCACACCUCUGGCUCCUUCGCAUCCUCCUGGUGUCAGCCAGUGUCUUCCAGGAGUAGGGCCAGCCAGUUAAUAGCAUGGAUUCUCGAUUAAAAUCCUGGCUCUAAUGCCUUCUGGCUCCAUCGCCUGCAGCACGUUACUUCUCUGUAACCCACUUUCUUCAGCUGAAGAAACUGAAUGGAGUGUUAAUAUCUGAGGUUGUUGUGAGGA